rnacentral:tRNA from 1 species
UGACUCAGUGGCUAGAGUGUCAGCCUGUGGACUGAAGGGUCCCAGGUUCAAUUCCUGG